AUUGAACGCUGGCGGCAUGCCUUACACAUGCAAGUCGAACGGUAACAGGUCUUCGGAUGCUGACGAGUGGCGAACGGGUGAGUAAUACAUCGGAACGUGCCCGAGAGUGGGGGAUAACGAGGCGAAAGCUUUGCUAAUACCGCAUACGAUCUCAGGAUGAAAGCAGGGGACCGCAAGGCCUUGCGCUCACGGAGCGGCCGAUGGGAGAUUGGGUAGUGGGUGGGAUAAAAGCUUACCAAGCCGACGAUCUGUAGCUGGUCUAAGAGGACGACCAGCCACACUGGGACUGAGACACGGCCCAGACUCCUACGGGAGGCAGCAGUGGGGAAUUUUGGACAAUGGGCGCAAGCCUGAUCCAGCCAUGCCGCGUGCAGGAUGAAGGCCUUCGGGUUGUAAACUGCUUUUGUACGGAACGAAAAGACUCUGGUUAAUACCUGGGGUCCAUGACGGUACCGUAGGAAUAAGCACCGGCUAACUACGUGCCAGCAGCCGCGGUAAAAC
rnacentral:rRNA from 1 species